UUGGGAGGAGGCGUCUGGCCCUCUAAGGUUAAGGGAGACAUCCACGCCCUCCUUCAAAGGGCACCAGAGUCACCCUGAGGGAGAGGAAGUGAGCCAUGAAGCACAGACCAAGAAGAGGAUUAUUUACACCCUCGUAGUUUCCAAGUUGAUCACUCACUGACUUCUACGUGACAAACCCAUGGUUUUCAUCUCCACAGCAUCCAGUGAAGUUCUCAUUUUCAGAGCCUGAGCGCCCCUCUGCACACAGUGCUGCAGACAUGAAAUGGAAAGGCUGCCCAGCAUAGAACGUCAGCAGAGCCCCAGACCUACAGCCAUGCUUUUCCGAGCCAGAGAUUUUUAGACACUUCAACAGGAAACUUGUGGCACAGAUGGAAAAUAAAUUGCAUCUGUUAAGCAGAGUAAAUGGGAGCGGGGGAGCUUCAAAGAUCAAAAAGCUGUGUAAGAGAUACUCUGAGGACCCAGAUUAUAUAAAUGCUUGUAAGCUAUGAGUGUUUUCAUACAGUGCUAUUAAGAAACCUGCAAUUAAGGUGUUGGAGGUUUUUCUUAAACACACAGGCACACAUACCCUCGCAGGGAAAUCAAUCCCCUCUCAUAAAAGAACAGUGGUAGGUGUGCGGAGCGGUUUCGUGCCCCAGGGCAGGCACAGCGCUUGGAGACGAGUCAGUCUAACCUGUGGGAAGAUACCAUUUGAUGUACCACCAAGAGCUAGAAGACAGCAGCGCCUCCCUGGGAGCCUGCCACUUCUCCUACAAACCUCAAACCAGGGUGUAUGGAAGACCCUGCCCCUAGAGGCGGGGCAGGAGAGGAAUGAGGGGCGGGGGAGAUGUGCUUUCUUCUCCAGAGCCAGGUAGGGCAUUUGUGAGACUGUCCUGCCAUCUCCUAACCAGGUAGGCACGCGGGCCUCACACCUGCAGCGUCUGGAAUCGAGCCGUCCUGCUUCUGCUCAGCCGGGUUCCAUAAAGGGCACAGAUGGAACCCUGACAUUUUAGUGCGGCCAAUGCCAUCACCGGUGCUCUUUUCUCAGGGCUGACUCACAGUUAAAGUGUUUGAAUAAUUUAGACCCACUGCCAUCUGAAAAACAAAAAACAAAACAAAACAAAAAAAAAACGGUCCAGGCUAUUUAACGUUAGUAGUGAGACCCAACCAGAAAAACUGUGGUGUGGGUAGAACCAGGUGAAACCAGGAAGUCUUAUCUUUUCUUUAGGAAAUGACGCUCAGGUGUGGUCGCUGGAAUAGCAGCAUUGCUAUCACCUGGAACUGGUUAGAAAUGAAAGUUCUCAGGCCCCAUCCAGACUUCCUGAAGCGAGACUCCAGGAAGGGAGCCUAACCAUGUGUGUGUUAACACAGCUUCCAGGGGUCUUGGUGACACGAAAGUUUGAAAACCACUGUCUCAGAGGGGAGCCACGGUGAAAAAUCCAAGGAUACUUCCUUCCACGUGUUAGGCUGAUCGCUGCUGUGCAGUUUGGGAGAGCUACAUCAGCAGGCUUCCUCUGUUCCACAGAUGUCAUUAGUCCCAGGAAGCUGACCUGCAAUUUCUCUAAUCAUAAUCAUCCAGUAUUAGAGCUCCAAGAGUGAGAUGUUUUUCUCCUAAAGUUUAGUGAAAGAGAUUUUUACAACCAUGUUUCUUAUGCAUGGCAGUCAGAAAAUGAUAAAAUGCUGUUCUGAGGUA